GGGGAUGCCGGGCUUCGAAAAGGAAAAGUGUAGCGCGCGCAGGACGAGGCCGAUCAACAACCUCGAAAAAAGUUGAUCACUUACAAGUGCAAACUUGUUCGCAAAAGUGCAGAACGCUUUCCGCGUUCCAGCAUUUGCUCUUGCUUAAAUUAGCUUGAGCCAUCCGGCCCUGAUGCUCGAUAAGGAAACGCCGGGUGCCAUACAUCGAGCUUGACUAGCAUAAGGACCUCGCUUGCGCUACGCGACUCAAACAGGGGUAGGAAUAUCUGAAAUUCUGCCGUUCUUUGACCGGAUAUUCUGACAAAACAUUACAGAAUGGCUAAUCCUGUAGAAGCGUGCCGCAUAAUUUUUCUUUGACGUGGGUUCAACUCCCACCAUCUCCACAA
rnacentral:tmRNA from 2 species